CGGAGAGCAGGAAUGGCAGGAGAGCGGUGAGAGACCUCCGUCCCAGUGAGGAUGACAUGUUCUAACUCAGGAAAUGAAUAGAUGCUCUUGCGAUUGAAGAAAAAUCUACGCUGGAGGCAGACAGGCUGGCAGAUAAGGAGACUGAAGCAUCUAGAGUUGGAGUAAUUUCCACAAGAUCACAGGUUAGUAUGAAAGAGGCAAGAUUUCACUCUGUCACCCAGACUGGAGUGCAGUGGCACAAACAUAGCUCACUGAAGCCUCAAACUCCUGGGCUCAAGAGAUCCUUCUGCUUCAGCCUCCUGAGUAGCUGGGACUUCAGAGCUGAAACCACAGGAAGAGGCCAAUAUGGACUUCUCUACUACUUUAUUUCCCCUGAGCCUGGUCAGCUUCUUCCAAGGAGAUUACUGGGAGGAAGCUUCUAGGAUUUCUGGAUCAAAAUGAUAGAAUUGUAAAGUCAAAAGGAGAAAAAUUGAGGAUUGGCUGGUUUGUAUUAUCAUCAGUUCUCAAAUGUUUAUAAGGGCCAUCUAAGAGUGAAACGACAAUGGAAACACCCGAAGAAGGAGGAGGAUAAGGAGAGAGAAAAGAAGAAUAAGAGGUAGAAGAAAAAGAAGAAUCAUGGAGACUUUUGAAUGCUCUUUGUCAGAAUCUCCAAAAUAUCUCAAGUCCAUUAUCUACUAGGAGGUACCAGACGUGCUCCAACAAUGGGCUGGUGGCAGGAUUCCAGAGCCGCUACUUCGAGUCAGUGCUGGAUCGGGAGUGGCAGUUUUACUGUUGUCGCUACAGCAAGAGGUGCCCAUAUUCCUGCUGGCUAACAACAGAAUAUCCAGGUCACUAUGGUGAGGAAAUGGACAUGAUUUCCUACAAUUAUGAUUACUAUAUCCGAGGAGCAACAACCACUUUCUCUGCAGUGGAAAGGGAUCGCCAGUGGAAGUUCAUAAUGUGCCGGAUGACUGAAUACGACUGUGAAUUUGCAAAUGUUUAGAUUUGCCACAUACCAAAUCUGGGUGAAAGGAAAGGGGCCGGGGACAGGAGGGUGUCCACAUAUGUUAACAUCAGUUGGAUCUCCUAUAGAAGUUUCUGCUGCUCUCUUUCCUUCUCCCUGAGCUGGUAACUGCAAUGCCAACUUCCUGGGCCUUUCUGACUAGUAUCACACUUCUAAUAAAAUCCACAAUUAAA
ensembl:lncRNA LINC00970 long intergenic non-protein coding RNA 970